rnacentral:rRNA from 1 species
UACAGAGGGGGCAAGCGUUGUUCGGAAUUACUGGGCGUAAAGGGCGCGUAGGUGGCCUUCUAAGUUGAACGUGAAAUCCCUGGGCUCAACCCAGGAACUGCGUCCAAGACUGGGAGGCUUGAAUCCGGGAGAGGGAUGCGGAAUUCCAGGUGUAGCGGUGAAAUUCGUAGAUAUCAGGAGGAACACCGGUGGCGAAGGCGGCUACCUGGACCGAUACUGACGCUGAUACACGAAAGCGUGGGGAGCAAACAGG